rnacentral:tRNA from 1 species
GCCGACGUAGCUCGGUUGGUAGAGCACCCCAUUGGUAAUGGGGAGGCCAUCGGUUCGAUCCCGAUCGUCGGCUCCA